AUUUUUCGAAACUAAAUGAUACAAAAUCUGAAGAAAUAAGGACGGUAGGAUACUUGUUCUUUAUGUGCUCUUUGUAUUAUCACCCUGGUUAUUAUGACAUACUGUACCGCGACAGGAGAAAAAAAACGCAAAACAUGCGGCUGUGGUGGAAUGAUGUACAAAAGGGAAGCAGGCGAUGCUUCAUCUCAAAUCUUUUUGUAGCCAGUUGGGCACAGUCAGGUGCUGACAGUCCAGACAGGGACGGUCCUGGUGAGAAGAUGGGAGCAAUGGACCAAAUGUGGGAGUCAUGGGUGGACAAAUAGGAGACGACCAAACCAGGGAUCUGCUCCCAGGGCACCGAAACCUGGGAAACAGUCCACAGGCAAGAACGAGCAAUUGUGGAUCUGUCUCGCUGCCAGGAGGGAUUUACACAAGUAGAAGGGGAAACAGACACCGAUUCUUGUUCCUUUUCCACACUUGCAGCAGUCGUCGGUGCACAAGCCUGAACUUUCUGUUUGGAGUCCUGCAAAAGGAGAGCGUUGCAUCUGUCAAUAAUUUGUCAAAACCAAGAAGUUCACGCUUUCCUUGUUUCAAUUAUACCUAACAAGAAUGGGAGAUUUAGCAAGAGUUUCUAAGUUUCAGUGAGCAGAUGUUUAAAAAAGAUCCAAGCACUUUUUUAGAAUGGACGUCUUCCCAGGGAUGAUGUAUCACCACUUGAAGACGGAUCUCACAAAGGACAAAUCAAUUCUGAAAUGAACCUGUCCCUCUCUACUUCGAAAGCAAUGUAAGUCUGUUAGAAGUGGAGUGAAGGAACUGCAUUUCCUUACAGUAGCGUGCUUCUAUAAAUCCUCAAAGGAUCCAUCUUGGGAGCAUGUCCACGAUUUGACCUUUAGAUAUUGACAGAGAAGAUGUAUAUACAUAUAUUCUCACGUUCUAUGAGGCAAAACUACAUGCACUGCUCGACUGAUAAGCCAGCUUCUGUCUCUUGUGGUCAGAGGUAAUUCUUUUUUCCAUAUUAGCUGUGUGUUGGACCUUGGUUUUACAGAUUUUGUUACCGGUGCCAGAUCGUAUGUGGCAGCUUUGUAAUGUGGAGUAUCCUCUAAUGAGGAUUGCACAGCCACCACCAGAGUAAUUUCAAUUAGCACUUUGACUAAAUGUAAAACUGAACUCCACUGGUAGCAACCGGUGUCUUAUUCAUUUAAUUGUUUUGUGCCCAUGGAAUUUUUUCCUUAGAACUUGUUCAGGGAAGGAUAUGACAUAUACCUUUUACCUCUCUGUUUUUCUCUCUUUCUAUGGUAUAUCACAUCAAAGGGAGAUUAUUCACCUUUGCAGGCUGAACUACUAGGCCUACACUUACUGAGAGGAAUCCAACAGAAAAAUGUUUAGUCUACUGGGCCCCUAGAAGAAACUUUUUACCCCGGUUUUUGGAGCAAUACUUACGAAAACAUUUUUAUAAAAUUCUCCUUUUAAUCCUUGAUCGUGCUCAGAUACGUUAGAUUGAUACAAAACCCCCUAACUAACUUCACUAGCCUCAGUGGAACGACUAAAUUCUUUUCCAACUUUGCACUAUCAACCCUUAAGUAUAACUUCAGUCAUAUCAAAUUAUAGCAGGACAGCCUGUUUCCUUUUCGCUCAGAUUCAGCAGUCUCUCUGCUUGCUUUGACUCACAUAUAAGGAUACGUGGGUCUCCAGGAACUUACCAGUCUAGAAAUGGGUUAACUUAACUAGCACAUUUUUGAAAGGCAAAGUGAAGUAGCCAAGUCCAUAACCCACAGGGCUAUGCUUAAUGAUGGGUCCAUACAAAUGUCUUCCAUAAACUAAAAUGCAUUGAAAUGCUGCAUUGAUGUAUAUGAGUAUUAACAACCACAUUUGCAUUUUUAUACACUCCCCAUUUGUUCUUCUAACCAUAGCAAAAUGCAAAUCAAUGGGUUUUGUUAUGGAUUUUUUUUGUGUGUAUAUAUAUAUAUAUUUAUUUUAUACACUUACAUAAAAAGGCAUGGAUAGAUCUGAAUAUACGGCUGUUAAAUUAGUCAAGAAUUAGGAAAUGCUCAGGAAGCAGACUGGCCAAACAUGCAGAAACACUGUGAUUAACUAUAUGUGUAUCUAUUUCAGAUCAAACCAGGUUAUUUUUCUGGACACUUAUUUUCUCACACUGAAGAUGCCUGGAAGCAUAGCACAAGUAAAUUAAUUUCAUGGUAACAGUUACAGUGCUCUUUUUCAAGUUCCUUUAAUUGUUUUCUCUUCGAGUUCAGGAGGACACAAGGGAUCAACAAAUGGAGUAGAAUAAAUGAGAACAUGAAGACACAAAGUUUAUCUCUUUAUACCUUUUUACCAAGGACGCGUGGUGGUGUUGCUGCCCUUGAAACAGCAUCUUUGGACCCCUGUUGGCUUUGCAGGAU